rnacentral:lncRNA from 1 species
UCCAUGAGAAAGAUCCACCUAUGUCCUCAGGUCCUCAGACCGACCAGCCCAAGUAACAUCUCACCAAUUUCAAAUCUGACAGGAAUGUCAGGCCUCUGAGCCCAAGCUAAGCCAUCAUAUCCCCUGUGACCUGCACAUACACAUCCAGAUGGCCAGUUCCUGCCUUAACUGAUGACAUUCCACCACAAAAGAAGUGAAAAUGGCCUGUU